rnacentral:rRNA from 1 species
AGAGUUGAUCCGUGGCUCGAGGACGAACGCUGGCGGCGUGCUUCAUACAUGCAAGUCGAACGAGAAUCUGGCUUCGGUCAGAGGAAAGUGGCGGACGGGUGAGUAAUGUGUAGAGAAUCUGCCCCAGAGCGAGGGACAACAGUUGGAAACGACUGCUAAUACCUCAUAUGCGCGUAGCUGAGAUGCUAUUCGUGAAAACUCCGGUGCUCUGGGAUGAGUCUGCAUCUGAUUAGCUAGUUGGGGGUGUAAUGGACCACCAAGGCGACGAUCAGUAGCUGGUUUGAGAGGAUGAUCAGCCACAAUGGGACUGAGACACGGCCCAUACUCCUACGGGAGGCAGCAGUAGGGAAUUUUGCGCAAUGGGCGAAAGCCUGAACCGCAGCAACGCCGCGUGAUUGAAUAAGCCCUUCGGGGUGUAAAGAUCUGUCCGUGGGGACGAAACUUGACGGUACCCACAGAGGAAGCAUCGGCUAACUCCGUGCCAGCAGCGGC